ensembl:snRNA U6 U6 spliceosomal RNA
GUCUGCUUCGGCAGCACAUAUACAACAUUUGGAACAAUAUGGAGAAGGAUUGCAUGGCCACAGCAAAAUCAUGACAUGCAAAUUCAUUCAUGAAGCAUUCCAUAUUAUA